UUUACUUUUGAGGCUUUGGGACUCGGACUGAGCCACUACUGGCUUCCUUGCUCUUCAGCUUGCGGAGAGCCUAUCUUGGAACUUCAUCUUGUGAUUCUAACCUUCUGGAAGCCCUGACUGCCUUGCUGUAAGGUCGGCUGAAUGGAAAGAGACAAAGGCUGUUGGCCCUGAUAACAGAGGACACGGAGAACACUGACGGGCCAGCACAGAGAGGUGUCAAACCUACAUUGCAGCCUGAAGGAUGUCUUCACUUCCUCCUGCUCCUUCGCCUUGUAUCCUUCAUAGAUUUUUCCCGCAAUAAA